rnacentral:lncRNA from 1 species
GGAAAUCUAAGAGUUAAUUUAAGCGGACCUAAUUAACUUGGAACAUUGAGAUUUACAAUUUAUUGAAGGAACAACUGAAAAUCAAUUUAGGUUGCAUAUGUGUCAUGUGUGGAGAAGAACCCUCUAGCUAGUCCGUCACUUAUCCUUUCACCUUAAUUUCAUGCUUUUGUCAAUUCUGUAAUUUAUUUAAGUUUAAUUUAUUUUCUCGUCAAAACCAAACCCCCCCCCCCAUUAUUAAAUUAUAUUAUUUAGUUAGUUUUCAUUGUUGUUAGUCUUUUAAUUCAAUUUCCGUCCAUUUCAAUUCCUAGUGUCUAAUUUGAUUGUUUUCAUUAUUUUGAGUCAUUCUAAGUGUGUUUCGAGUUAUUAGAGUUUUUAGCUUAGUUUUGUGUCCUUGAGUCUUGUUUAAUAUUUUUAAAUUAAUUUAGAAUAGAUUAGCAAUCCCUCCUAAUCCCCGGCCUAGAACGAUACCCUACUUACAUCUAUACUACAAUUGUCAAAAAGAGGGUUUAAUUUGUGUGUCAAGUAAUUCUCACAUCAAAUUUUGGCGCCGUUGCCGGGGAUUAGCAACUUUGCUAAUCCCUUUAUUUUUGUUUUUGUUUAUGUUUAUAUUGGUGUUUGUGUAUUUUACUUUUGAUAUUUGAUUUAUUUUUCUUUCUUUGAUUUUAGGUACAAAUGGAGCAAGACAUGGCACUUGCGACCAUUCAAGCUCAAUUGACACAGCUCACUGCUCAAUUGACUCAUAAUGCCGAACGGACCACAAUGCCAAGUGUCCCUACAUUUGAUGUGCCCUAUGGGCAAGGAUAUCAACAUCCUCAAUUCACUGUGAACGAAGAUGCUUGGGGUUAUCAAGGCUAUGAUCAACCAAGCAACAACAUGUUUUCCAACGCUUACAAUUCGGCUUGGAGAGAUCAUUCAAAUUAUAUGUGGGGGGAACCUCAACAAUUCCAACAAGAUGGAUAUUGGCAGCAAGAGGAGGAGUUCUAUUCAAAACCUAUGCAAUAUGCUCAAUCAAACUCAGGUUCGUCAAUAAAUUAUAAUCAAAUUCUUAAUGAAUUAAAUUGUUUGGUGCAGGGCUCACAAAAUCAAGCCAUGGAGGCUCAACAAGAUGGAUAUUGGCAGCAAUCUGAGGAGUUUUAUUUAACGCCUAUGCAGCCACCACCGCAUACCCCACAACAAUUCCAAUCAAAUUCAAGUAUGUCCAUGGAUAGUGAUCAAAUUCUUCAAGUACUAACCUCUUUGACGCAGGACCAACAAAAUCAAGACAAGAAGUUGGAUAAAUUGAUGAGUCAAAUGGGAGAGAUUAUGGAAUUCAUGGUACAAAUUCAAGAGCAAAGUGAACUCUCCAGGUCAACUGUUGAAAAUUCGAAGGAAGAUUUUGAAUCCACGAUGCUAUCACUUUAGAAGGUGACAUGAAGGAUGAAGUUGUCCCAGAACUAUCCAAACACAGCCCGAACAUGGAUGAAUUGCUGCUGCAAGCAGAAGAGGAGGAGGACGACCUAGGCAGUUUAGAAGAAUUCUUGCUGCAAGCUCCUCAAAUCCCUAUGUCAUCCAACUCAGGUGAGGAAGUUCUAAAUCCACUUCAUUCUAACAUUAUUCCACCAAAUGUCCUUUUUCCUUGUAGGUUUUUGAUUCCAAAUAUCAAAGAGAGUGAAAAAGACAUUGUGGAAGCUCUUCCAAAGGUGCAAAGUGAUAUCCCAAUUCUUGGUGCACCAAAACAAGUUCCCGAUGGUAUUGAAACGUUCAAAAAGAACCUUGCACACCAAGAAAAGGGAUUCAAGAAAAAUGAAGUGGUUGAAGCAUAUCAAGAAUACAUCCAAGAGGUUGUGCAUGAGACAAUCAAGCCCAAAGCAGUUGAGUUUGAUGACACGGGACAAGCCACAACCAUCAUAGUAAACCUGGCCAAGUUCAAAGUCCCGGAAAUGUUCAAAGAUGUGGUGUUUGUCAUUGAGUUUGUGUCGGAAAAAGAAAGUAAACCAUUUUCUCCAAUUUUAAUUUUAAUUUAUACUAACAUGUUUCUGAUUUUGAUGAUUCAGGCACCCACUCUUGAAUUUAAACCAUUGCCGAAUCAUUUCAAGUAUCACCUCCCAUUAAAAGAUAAAUUCCAUGCUUUGGAGCCGAGGGGAAUUUAAAGGAAAGAUUCGUCCCGCUAAAGACGUUAAAUCAAGCGCUUCUUGGGAGGCAACCCAAGCAUUCAACGAAGGGAGACUUUGGAAUUGCUAACCAAAUCAGAUUUGCAUUCUUACACCCUUAUCUUUACUGCUUUCAUUUUGUUUUGUUCAGUUAGUUGUGUUAUUUGGUUGAUUUCUAUGAGUUUGUGUUAUUUAGUUUAAGUGUGGGGGAAGGUUAAACAAAGUCUUUUUACAUUGAUUUACAUAUUUUACAUUGAUUAAAAAAAAAAAAAAAAAAAAAAACAUAAAGGUAAAAAUAUUUUACAAUGAUGUGUAAACUAAUAGCAUUCAUUGGUCAGGUGGUGCUUCAGUAGUCAGCGGAGCUUCAGCAGUCGGCGGGGCCACGGAAGGAGGAGGUAUCGGAGGUUGAUCAGUUGGAGCUUCACUACGCGGUGUCGCCCCAGAAGACGAAGGCAGAUGCGGUUGGAACAAACCCAUAAACCUCCGGUGAUCAACCACCAACGAUUCAACGUGACGGGUUCGAGCAAAUAGGCGUUGGGCCAUGUUGGACACAUAACCAGCACACUGCACGCUAAGUGCCAGAGACUCCUUAACCGCCAAUUCAUCAGACCGUCUAGCGAGCAGUCUGUUAUCUCUGGGGGUGACAAGGUUCCGGGCCACCACCGCAGCGGUCAUGUCAUUUUUCAUCACCGAAUCCCCAACGGUAAGAGGACCGGUAGGGGAUAUGAAGGAUGGGUGCCAUAUGUUGUCUGGUGAAGGCGGAGCUGCCUCUUCACCAAUGUUCAAGUCAAAACGACGAUCGGAAGGGCCAGACAUUUUUCAGAGGUGGUGAAGAAAGAAGAGAGUCGGACUGAUUAAGAUUUUGGAAGUGCAAGAAGGGAGUGUUUACAGGAGAGAGCUCAAGUGUGUUGUGGAACAAAAUUAACGCCUCUAUAAAAAAGAAAUCAAAGAGGCGCUCCUCAGAGAAGCAUCCUCUCGCAAAUCGAAGAGUCGGGGCUCCUUUCUCAAAAGUCGGAUUCUUUUCUCAAAAGAGGCGUUUCAUCUUAAAAUUUGGGCUUGCUCAGAAACCAUGAGCUGAACCCCGGAUUUCAAAAGAUCAAUUUGUCCAAACGUGUCGUCACUCGUCACAUGCAACUGGCAGUUUUACGAAAAUUACGGGCAGCUUUGUCAGAAAGCGCGUAAUUUGUACUAUUCAUCCAUCCACCGGCUGCCGACAAUGAGUGAGGGAAUAGUUCCGGUUGUGAAGAAAAGUCCUAUAAGUGUCUACCUUCGCCUUCCCACAGCAAAGGCACACCCUCUCAGCACUUCUUCAUCUCCGAGAAUGCAUUCCCAAAGAACCCUUUCGAGUCACUCUGUAUUUUUCAUCCCCUGGGAUACCCCUGCAACAACCCAUCCAGAGCACAAGUAUUUCAUAUCAUAAAGGUUGAGAGCACGAGUAUCUCAUAUCAUGCUUUCUCCCUGUCCUUUCUCCAGUCAGCACCUGCUCUCGAGUACUCAUCAUCUUAUGCCUUCGCUUCGUCUCUCACGUCUAAGGGAAGUGAAGAUGAUACCUCGAAGCAUGUGGAGACAACGUGCUGAUUCAUCCUCAACUAAGGACAAGGAGAAAGAGAGCAAGAGGUGGGCACUUGGAAAGAUUGAAGAAAGAAACAGACCAACACCUUUCCCUCGUGCCUGCCCGUCGUGCAGAAGAAACAAGCAGAGAAGAAUGCAGCUUGCACAAUCAUCCCAGCAGAAGGAGUCUAAGAUGAAGAACUAGAGAAGCUGCCAAAUAUGCUUGGAGAACAAAUAAGGAACUGCAACAUCACCAAAGAGCAAAGCUUCGCCGUACAAUAUCAUCAAAUCAUCACUUGCAAGUAAAAAGCUAAGUGUCACCCCGUUCAAGAGGAAAGCUGUGGAAAGUCAACAAGCACGACCAAUGAUCACUUAUUAGUUCUAUUCAUUGUCUUUUAUCGUGAUUUUCAAUUUUUCGUUUGCAAUUUUUUUUUUCUUGCGUUACUUAACUGAAUUAUUUCUUUUCUUUGCAGGAAUUUUUGGUUAUUUCCACCCUUGAAGUUGAUUGCAGAAUUUUAGCUUGGGGGGUCAUCGCUUGGUUUUACUGCAAACUAGGGAAGUUUUCAGUCCAAUUGCUUUAUUUUGUUUCUUAUUAUUUAUUUAUUUUAUUUUUAUUUGCAUUAUAGUGUUUUCUGACAUUGGGGACAAUGUCCAGUUUAAGUUUGGGGGUAAAGAGUAUAAAAAUGACCAAAUUGAAUUUUUUUUUUUUUUUUGUACCUUCAACUACGAACGAGUUUCAUUUGUUUCCAUGUUGUUGCUUUUUGUUUUCUUAAUUAGUUUUGUUUUCUUUUUAAAAAAAAGAAAAAAAAAAUAAAUCGGAAAUUUUAAAAAAAAAUCCAAAAAUAUUGUCUUGUUUCCCUUAUUGUUUUGAAUUAGAUUUUUGUUAGUUUCCCGACCCAAUGAUAUAAUUGGAUCAAAUUUGAACCAUGAUCAUCAAGAACUUAGUUAACAUGUGUUUUGUGAAAUUCCUAAUUCUCUUGUUAGUUUUGUACAUGUUUGACCAUCUUUGAAAAACCAAAUGCACAUAGCCUUGUUAAUGUGAAACUAAAGUACGACUUAAAGCUUCAUAUGUGAAUUUAGUGACCAUAUACAUCCUAUGUGAGUUUUUGAGCCGAUUGAAAGUGUGUGCAUUUUUCAUACACUCCUAUUCUUUCAUGUGUGAUGAACUUAUGUGAGAUACAUCUCUAGAACUUGCGUAACGAUCUUUCGAAAUAUUUGUCAUUGAUUGCAUGAAUUUGGAAAUGAUAGAGGCAUUAGGUUUACCACUAUGGCCCAAAUAACCAUGUUUCCCAAAGAAAAAUGAUAUCAUUAGAUUGCCAAUUUGAGCCGUGUACGUUGAGCCUUUUAUUUCUUAUCACCAGAUAUGUCUACCCUUAUACCUGAAACAUUUUUCCUUACCCUUUCCAAGCGAGCAAUGCGAGAUUGUCUUAUGAGAAAUGUUUGUGAAGUACUUUGAAGGUGUUUGGCAAAAGAAUAAGUGUGGGGGUAUUUCAUGUUUGUAUAAAAAAAAAAUAAAAAAAAAUAAAAAAAAAAGAGAAAAAAAAAAGAAAAGAAAAAGAAAGAUUGUAUACAAAGAAAAUAAAAAGUUUUUGAAGUUUCAGUUAAGGGUGUGGUUGGAGGUGCUAGAAGAAUCGCUGGAAAGAUUGAGUUCUUAUAAAUCUAAACAAAAGAAUUGCUUGCAAUGUAGCUUGGAACUUGUGUUUUCCUAUUCUUUCGUUUCAAUAACCCUAUCCCUAAGCCUCAUUACAUCCAAUAAAAGUCCUCUUGAUUUAAGUUUUUCAAUUAUGACUGUGGAGAAGUGAUCUUUAUGCAAGCUUAUGGUAGAAAUUUCACAUUUGAUUCUUUGAGCGAAACACAUUUAAACUAAACACAUGUGUGAUUGAGUGUAUAUUCCGUGAGAAGGUUGCUAGUUUGCAUAUGAUGAUUUUAAAAAAAAUAAAUAAAAAAUUUUUUUGAAAUUGCAUUAGCAUGGCUAUCUCACACACUACACUUCAAGGAUGAUUUAAAGAUUACUGCUAAUAUUUGAAUAAGGAAGAUGAACUUGGAUUAGCUUGUUUGGUGCUAGCUAUGGUUCUUGUUGAUUUGUGUUCUCAAAUGAAAUUCUAUGAGGGUCACAUAGGGGGAAGCUAAUGUUUUUGUUGUUACUAGUUCUUGUUUUCUUUGUUUUGCUCGAGGACUAGCAAAAGCUAAGUGUGGGGGAAAUUGAUAGGAGCAUAUUUAUACGACUUAGUUAGCUUGUUUUCUUGCUUUUAAUUAGCUAAACUAUGAUAAUUAUAGUGUUUAAAGUUAUUUUCGUGCAAUUUCAGGUUUUAGUGUCAAAGUAUGCAAAAAGAAGCAAUUUGGAACAUUCUAGAGCAUUUUUGGGCCAAGAUUGGAUUGUGCAAGCAUGGAGGCAUGAGGAUGGACGAAUUUGAAGACAAAAGAGGCUAUGAACAUGCUAAAAAUCUGGUGAAACAAAUAUAAGUUGCAAGAAGGGAUAAAUUUCUAGAAGGAUUGACCAAAACUUCACUCAAAACCAAGAAAUUCUUCAAUGCCAUGCGUGGGCAUUGAUUCACUUUCACCAGAAAUUUGAGUGAUGAUGCAAUGCUUAAAUCACCAUGACAUGUGAGUGGAUGAUGCAAUGCUUAACUCACCAUGAUAUGUGAAUGGAUGACUCAAUACCUAACCCACCAACAAUUCCCACUCUUUGCCAUGCUCACCUACUCAAUUCCACCAAAAUUUUGUGUUAAACAAGUCCAUCCUUUUCCUAUAAAUACCAUGGCAGCAACCUCAUUCAAAUCAUCCAGAAAUUAACCAUUCUCCAAGCCUUCCCUUGCCUCUCCCUACAUAUCUAAACCUUCCCCAUCCAUUCCUCCAUAUAACCAACCAUUCAACCACCAUAACCACCUUGUGCCGCCACCAUUGAAGGAGAGGAGGAGUAGUGCCGUGCUUAUGCAAUCUGCAACUAUUAGAGUGUUUGGAAUUCUUUCUUCUUUUAAUUCUAUGUUCAUGUUUAAUUUAACUUGUUGUUCAAUUAUGUUAAACAUGUGGAACUAAUUUCUUUUUGGCUAGAGGUUAAUUCAAAGCCAUGAAUAUAUUUGUAAUAUGAAUUGAUUACCUUCAGUUGUGAUUUCUGAGUUGUGAUUUAAUUUGCUUAACUGCUUGAUUGAUAACUUAUUUUUGUAUGUCGAUUAAGAAUGCAUACUUAAUUUACAUGCAUGAAUUUGAUGCUAGAAUAUAAGUGAAUUUCACCUAAUCGUUAUGAACUUAUAUUCACAAGUAGUGAAGGUUGUUAUCCACAAUCGUGUUAAGUGAAUUCUUGGCAAGAGUAUCAUGCGUAUUCCAUAGUUAUGAAUGCCUAGUCAAUGUUUAUGAUUUCCGUUGAACUUAAUGAUCUUUGUUGAAUGUCUCUAUCAUGCGUAUUCCAUAGUUAGGGACUUUGAUGAGGAAUAAUUUGGUUGUAAUGCAUAUUCCAUUCAAUCCAAUGAAUCUAGGGAAAUCUAAGAGUUAAUUUAAGCGGACCUAAUUAACUUGGAACAUUGAGAUUUACAAUUUAUUGAAGGAACAACUGAAAAUCAAUUUAGGUUGCAUAUGUGUCAUGUGUGGAGAAGAACCCUCUAGCUAGUCCGUCACUUAUCCUUUCACCUUAAUUUCAUGCUUUUGUCAAUUCUGUAAUUUAUUUAAGUUUAAUUUAUUUCUCGUCAAAACCAAA